CAUUGUUUGUUUGUUUUGUUUUUUUUUUGAUGUUUUGUGUGUUUUUUUUUUUGUGUGUGUGUUGUCGACAGAAGUUACUUUGGAACCGUACAAAUCGGGAAGAAAGUGAGAGAGGGGGCAAAAG
rnacentral:ribozyme from 1 species